rnacentral:rRNA from 1 species
GACGAACGCUGGCGGCGUGCUUAACACAUGCAAGUCGAACGGACAGGCCCUGCUUUUGUGGGGUGCUCGAGUGGCGAACGGGUGAGUAACACGUGAGUAACCUGCCCUUGACUUUGGGAUAACUUCAGGAAACUGGGGCUAAUACCGGAUAGGAGCUCCUGCUGCAUGGUGGGGGUUGGAAAGUUUCGGCGGUUGGGGAUGGACUCGCGGGUUAUCAGCUUGUUGGUGUGGUAGUGGCUUACCAAGGCUUUGACGGGUAGCCGGCCUGAGAGGGUGACCGGCGACAUUGGGACUGAGAGACGGCCCAGACGCCUACGGGAGGCAGCAGUGGGGAAUAUUGCGCAAUGGGCGGAAGCCUGAUGCAACAACGCCGGGUGCGGGAUGACGUCCUUCGGGUUGUAAACCGCUUUCGCCGGUGACGAAGCGUGAGUGACGGUAAUGGGUAAAGAAGCACCGGCUAACUACGUG